UCCAUAUUAAGGGUCAACAAGUUAGUU
rnacentral:sRNA from 1 species